rnacentral:rRNA from 1 species
GAUGAACGCUGGCGGCGUGCUUAACACAUGCAAGUCGAACGGAAAGGCCGAAGCUUGCUUCGGUACUCGAGUGGCGAACGGGUGAGUAACACGUGGGUGAUCUGCCCUGUACUUCGGGAUAAGCUUGGGAAACUGGGUCUAAUACCGGAUAUGACGAUCUCUUGGAUGGGGUUGUGGAAAGCUUCUGCGGUAUGGGAUGAGCUCGCGGCCUAUCAGCUUGUUGGUGGGGUAAUGGCCUACCAAGGCGUCGACGGGUAGCCGGCCUGAGAGGGUGUACGGCCACAUUGGGACUGAGAUACGGCCCAGACUCCUACGGGAGGCAGUAGUGGGGAAUAUUGCACAAUGGGCGCAAGCCUGAUGCAGCGACGCCGCGUGGGGGAUGACGGCCUUCGGGUUGUAAACUCCUUUCGCAAUCGACGAAGCCUUUUGGUGACGGUAGGUUGAGAAGAAGCACCGGCUAACUACGUG